GUAGGUGAACCUGCGGAAGGAUCAUUAAUGAAACUUCAAAGUCGGCCAAAGGUUGUUGCUGGUGAUUAUUCACAUGUGCACGCCUUUGGUCGCAAAUCCACACACACCUGUGCAUCUAUGACUCGAGGUUGUAAUGACUGAGAGUAACUUUUAUACACUCUUGUAUGUAAUGGAAUGUCUUUUUGUGCUAUAAUGUACAAUAUAAACAACUUUCAACAACGGAUCUCUUGGCUCUCGCAUCGAUGAAGAACGCAGCGAAAUGCGAUAAGUAAUGUGAAUUGCAGAAUUCAGUGAAUCAUCGAAUCUUUGAACGCACCUUGCACCCUUUGGUAUUCCGAAGGGUACGCCCGUUUGAGUGUCAUUGUAAUCUCACUUCUACAACUUUAUUGUUGUUUGAAUGUGGACUUGGAUGUUGCCGUUUUAUCACGGCUCGUCUUAAAUGCCUGAGUGUACCCUGUUUUGCAGCGUAUCCAGUGUAAUAAACAUUUCACUAGAGUUGGUCGAAAGACCGCGUUGACUAUAUGGGCUCUAUGCUUCAAACCGUCUGCCAUGUGGACAAUUUCUUGACAAUUUGACCUCAAAUCGGGUGGGACUACCCGCUGAACUUAAGCAUAUCAAUAAGCGGAGGAAAAGAAACUAACAAGGAUUCCCCUAGUAACGGCGAGUGAAGAGGGAAAAGCUCAAAUUUUAAAUCUGGUGUCUUUGACUCCCGAGUUGUAAUCUAGAGAAGUGUUUUCCGUGUCGGACCGUGUACAAGUUCCCUGGAACGGGGCGUCAUAKAGGGUGAGAAUCCCGUAUAUGCCACGGACUACCGAUGCUCUGUGAUACACUCUCAACGAGUCGAGUUGUUUGGGAAUGCAGCUCAAAAUGGGUGGUAAAUUCCAUCUAAAGCUAAAUAUUGGCGAGAGACCGAUAGCGAACAAGUACCGUGAGGGAAAGAUGAAAAGCACUUUGGAAAGAGAGUGAAACAGUACGUGAAAUUGUUGAAAGGGAAGCGUUUGAAGUCAGUCGCAUCUGUUGGGGUUCAGCCUGGCUUUUGCCUGGUGUAUUUCCUUUCCGAUGGGUCAGCAUCAGUUUUGACCGAGGGAAAAAGACAUUUGGAAUGUGGC
rnacentral:rRNA from 1 species